rnacentral:misc_RNA from 1 species
GCAAACUUGGUCAUUUAGAGGAAGUAAAAGUCGUAACAAGGUUUCCGUAGGUGAACCUGCGGAAGGAUCAUUACCGUGACGCCGGUUCGCCGGCAUGCACACCCUGUGUACCCCCCCGGUGCUUCGGCGGUUGGGCUCGUCCCGCCGCCGGAAGAAUCGAAACUCUUGUACCCUGUGUCGGAGCGACAAGCAAAUAUUUUAAAACUUUCAACAACGGAUCUCUUGGUUCCGGCAUCGAUGAAGAACGCAGC